rnacentral:rRNA from 1 species
GAUGAACGCUGGCGGCGUGCCUAAUACAUGCAAGUCGAGCGAACAGACGAGUAGCUUGCUCCUCUGACGUUAGCUGCUUACGUGUGAGUAACACGUUGAUAACCUACCUAUAAUACUUGUAUAACUUCUUGAAACCGGCUCUAAUACCGUAUAAUAUAUUUAACCGCAUUUUUCAAUAUUUAUAUACGGUUUUUCUUUCACUUAUAGAUUGUUCCGCGCCGCAUUAGCUAGUUGGUAAGGUAACGGCUUACCAAGGCAACGAUGCGUAGCCGACCUGAGAGGGUGAUCGGCCACACUGGAACUGAGAAACGGUCAAGAAGCCUACGGGAGGCAGCAGUAGGGAAUAUUCCGCAAUGGGAGAAAGCCUGACGGAGCAACGCCGCGUGAGUGAUGAAGGUCUUAGGAUCGUAAAACUCUGUUAUUAGGGAAGAACAAAUGUGUAAGUAACUAUGCACGUAUUGACGGUAACUAAUCAGAAAGAAAGGGCUAACUACGUG